UUACUUUAGGAAAAGUGAAUUGAUGCAAUUCCAUGAAAUUACACUUUGCACCCUUGCUAAGAAGUUAGUGGAGCGUGUGUGGUUUACCGGCACACUAAUUGGUUCUAAGCAAAGGUGGCAAAGGGUGAUUCAUUGUUUAUCAUAGUUCGAUGGAGCGUGUGUGGUUUACCAGCACAUCGAAUAGGUGAUCGNAAGGGUGAUUCAUUGUUUAUCAUAGUUCGAUGGAGCGUAUGUGGUUUACCAGCACAUUGAAUAGAUGAUUGUAACAAUGAAGGCACCAUGUAGAUUUGCAUGGUAAUUCACACCCGCUUUGUGAUCCUUGGUAUCCCAGUCACAAACUAGAGGGGAAUAUCGAGAUUUAAACAUGCCAUUGAAAGGUUCAAUGAAUCUCAAAGAAAAUCUAGGAAUUCUCAAUAAAACUUAAGGUUAUGUUUUCAAGGUGAAGAAUUAGUGAAUCGUCAUUCACUUACCUCCAAAUUGUUUGCAUGUUGGAUUACGGCAUCCCUUUUCUAAUAU
rnacentral:lncRNA from 1 species